UCUUGAGAGAACUACUCUGAAGGAACUCGGCAAAAUGCAUCUGUAACUUAGGGAGAAAGAUGACCCAUUUCUGGGCAACCAGAGAUGGGUGGCACAAACCAGGGGGUAGCGACUGUUUACUAAAAACACAGGGCUCUGCAAAGUCGAAAGACGAAGUAUAGGGCCUGACGCCUGCCCAGUGCCUGAAGGUUAAGAGGAGAUGUGCAAGCAUUGAAUUGAAGCCCAGGUGAACGGCGGCCGUAACAAUGACGGUCCUAAGGUAGCGAAAUUCCUUGUCGGGUAAGUUCCGACCCGCACGAAUGGCGUAACGACUUCCCCGCUGUCUCCAGAGUAGACUCAGCGAAAUUGAAUUCCCCGUGAAGAUGCGGGGUUCCCGCGGUUAGACGGAAAGACCCCGUGCACCUUUACUGCAACUUUGCACUGGUAUUAGGGGUUAGAUGUGUAGGAUAGGUGGGAGACUUAGAAGUAGUGGCGCCAGCCGCUAUGGAGUCGUCCUUGAAAUACCACCCUUUUAACCCUUGAUAUCUAACUAAGACCCGUGAAUCCGGGUCUAGGACAAUGCAUGGUAGGCAGUUUGACUGGGGCGGUCGCCUCCUAAAUAGUAACGGAGGCGUGCGAAGGUAGGCUCAAUCUGGUCGGAAAUCAGAUGUUAGAGUGCAAUGGCAUAAGCCUGCCUGACUGCGAGACUGACAAGUCAAGCAGAGACGAAAGUCGGUCAUAGUGAUCCGGUGGUCCUGCGUGGAAGGGCCAUCGCUCAACGAAUAAAAGGUACGCCGGGGAUAACAGGCUGAUGAUUCCUAAGAGCUCAUAUCGACGGAGUCGUUUGGCACCUCGAUGUCGACUCAUCACAUCCUGGGGCUGAAGCAGGUCCCAAGGGUUCGGCUGUUCGCCGAUUAAAGUGGUACGUGAGUUGGGUUUAGAACGUCGCGAGACAGUUCGGUUCCUAUCUGCCGUGGGUGUUGGAAAAUUGAGAGGAUCUGUCUUUAGUACGAGAGGACCGAGAUGGACAUACCUCUAGUGCGCCAGUUGUCACGCCAGUGGCAUAGCUGGGUAGCUACGUAUGGAAGGGAUAACCGCUGAAAGCAUCUUAAGCGGGAAACCCACCUCAAAACAAGUUUUCCCCAUUAGAGCCGUGAAAGACCAUCACGUUGAUAGGCCAGGUGUGGAAGCAUGGUAACAUGUGUAGCUUACUGGUACUAAUAGCUCGAUUGA
rnacentral:rRNA from 1 species